AUCCUGGCUCAGAAUCAACGCUGGCGGCGUGCCUAACACAUGCAAGUCGAACGCGAAAGUGGAGCAAUCCAUGAGUGGAGUGGCAAACGGGUGGGUAACACGUGGCGACCUACCUCUGAGUGGGGGAUAACCUUCCGAAAGGAGGGCUAAUACCGCAUGACAUCCCGUGUUUGGAUACACGGACAUCAAGGCCGGGGAUCGCGAGACCUGGCGCUUAGAGAGGGGCCCGCGUCCGAUUAGCUAGUUGGUGAGGUAACGGCUCACCAAGGCUCCGAUCGGUAUCCGGCCUGAGAGGGCUGACGGACACACUGGAACUGAGACACGGUCCAGACUCCUACGGGAGGCGGCAGUGGGGAAUNCNUCGCAAUGGGCGCAAGCCAAAACNCGCAACGCCGCGUGGAGGAUGAAGACUUU
rnacentral:rRNA from 1 species